GUUCUCCCUGCAACAGCACAUAUACUAGAAUUGGAAUGAUACAGAGGUUAGCAUGGCCCCUGCACAAAGAGAAAUAGUAAAUAAUGAAAGGUCUUGAGCAGAGUGUU